rnacentral:rRNA from 1 species
AUUGAACGCUGGCGGCAUGCCUUACACAUGCAAGUCGAACGGUAACAGGUCUUCGGAUGCUGACGAGUGGCGAACGGGUGAGUAAUACAUCGGAACGUGCCUAGUAGUGGGGGAUAACUACUCGAAAGAGUGGCUAAUACCGCAUGAGAUCAACGGAUGAAAGCAGGGGAUCGCAAGACCUUGUGCUACUAGAGCGGCCGAUGGCAGAUUAGGUAGUUGGUGGGAUAAAAGCUUAACAAGCCGACGAGCUGUAGCUGGUCUGAGAGGACGAUCAGCCACACUGGGACUGAGACACAGCCCAGACUCCUACGGGAGGCAGCAGUGGGGAAUUUUGGACAAUGGGCGAAAGCCUGGUCCAGCAAUGCCGCGUGCAGGAUGAAGGCCUUCGGGUUGUAAACUGCUUUUGUACGGAACGAAAAGCCCCGGGUUAAUAACCUGGGGUCAUGACGGUACCGUAAGAAUAAGCACCGGCUAACUACGUGCCAGCCGCCGCGGUAA